UCCGUAGGCGGUGCGGCAAGUCGGAAGUGAAAUCUCAGGGCUUAACCCUGAGGCUGCUUCCGAAACUGCCGUGCUCGAGUGCGAGAGAGGCGAGUGGAAUUGCAGGUGUAGCGGUGAAAUGCGUAGAUAUCUGCAGGAACAUCCGAGGCGAAAGCGGCUCGCUGGAUCGCAACUGACGCUGAGGGACGAAAGCUAGGGGAGCAAACAGGAUUAGAUACCCUGGUAGUCCUAGCCCUAAACGAUCAGGACUGGGCGUGGGCCUCAUACGGGGCUCGUGCCGCAGCUAACGCGUUAAGUCCUGCGCCUGGGGAGUACGGUCGCAAGGCUGAA
rnacentral:rRNA from 1 species